rnacentral:rRNA from 1 species
GAUAAACGCUGGCGGCGUGCAUAACACAUGCAAGUCGAACGAUGAAACUUAGAUGAUUUCUUCGGAAUGAACUUAAGUGGAUUAGUGGCGAACGGGUAAGUAACACGUGAGUAACCUGCCUUACACAAGGGGAUAGCCUCUGGAAACGGAGAAUAAUACCCUAUAAAGUCUAAUCAGCACAUGCUGGAAAGACCAAAGAUUUAUCGGUGUAAGAUGGACUUGCGUCUGAUUAGCUAGUAGGUAAGAUAAAAGCUCACCAAGGCGACGAUCAGUAGCCGGCUUGAGAGAGUGUACGGCCACAUUGGGACUGAGACACGGCCCAAACUCCUACGGGAGGCAGCAGUGGGGAAUUUUGCACAAUGGGGGAAACCCUGAUGCAGCGACGCCGCGUGAUUUAGAAGGCCUUCGGGUUGUAAAAAUCUUUUUUACGGGAUGAAAAUGACAGUACCGUAAGAAUAAGGUCCGGCUAAAUACGUGCCAGCAGCCGCGGUAA